rnacentral:lncRNA from 1 species
CAACAAGGCGACCCCGGACCCCUGCGGGGCAGGCCAGCGGGAAAGGUCGCGACAAUCUGAAUUCAGCAUAUGGAGAGUGGAACUCCAAGCCAGACAAUGCUGCCAGCUGCUGGAGAGCCUGCUGUCGAACGGGAUUGAUUCCUUUCCAAGUGUUCCUGCUCCACCUGCUAAGAAUUUAUGUCCUGGAGCAGUGUCCCCCUUCUUGGAGCAGUGUCCCCCUUCUUGGAGCAGCACCUCCUUUCCCCUUCAUCCAAUUCCCUUGUGUGCCAAUUCUUUUCAGACUAGCCAACCAACUGAAUAAGAUUGUGAGGUCAGACCCCAGCCAAUGGGGAAGAGACACAGCCACCACCUGAAAUUAGAAUAAAAACUAGAUAC